AGCCACUCACAGCAGUCUCCUGCCACAGAUGUAGAUAAAUAUGAUUACCUGCCCCCAACCUCCCUGCUCUCCUGUUAGUGUCAGCGGUGGGAUCAGACCAGAGUCCCAGCCACUAAACCAGGCCCAGCGCCCAGGUGCCUAUGCCCAGGACUGGGGCAUGACCCUCGCACCAGAGUCCCUUGAUGGAUGGGUCACUUCCUGCAUGACUAUCCCCUGCUCCUUCACCUACCCUACAGGGUGGACGGUCAGGGCCGUGAGCUGGACACGGGACAGGGAUCAAACCGUGUAUCAUUUGGAUGAGGCUCGUGUCCACGCUGACUUCAAGGGGCACGUCCGCUAUCUGGGGGACCUGCAGCACAACUGCUCCCCGCGUGUGGCAGGGCUGCACCACAGCGAUCAGGGCACCUACCGCUUCUGAUUUGAGACAAUCGGUGAUGUCAAGAAUGACAGCUGGACGACUUAUCCAGGACAGCGACUCGUGUCUUUGGUAAUCAGGUUCCUUCCAGCAGCCCCAGUUCAACACAGGGACCUUGGAUAACCUCAGAUAGGACACUACACACGAGUGCGCAGACACAGAGCAGGAUUCGUCCCCUCCAGCUGGGGGCAGCAGGGACACACACACCCUUUCUGCCUUGCUCUGAAAUCCAAGUGGUUAGAGCUGGGAGCCAGGACUCCUGGGUUCUCUCCCCAACUUUAGGGGACGGGGUGGGGUGGAGAGGGAGAGUGGUUAAAGCAGCGGGGACUUGUGGGUUAGACUCCUGGGCUGUGUUGUCAGACCCGCGUCCCCGUCACUCUGUCUAACCCUGGGCCUGUGCUGAAGAGCCGCUGAGACUGACCCUGCAGCCAGCGUAAUGCAGCAGGCGUGAGGGGCUAUCAGGCGGAGCCCGAUAGUGGGACUGGGACCCUGCAGGACCCCCUGGCAGAAGAGAGGGAGCAGCCCAUCGGUGCUGGCUCUCCCUGUGGCGCUGAACGGAACCAGGACCCUCCCUCACCUGCUCCGUGGGGGCCGCCUGCUCCCAUCGCCCCUCCUGGUACAACCAAACGUGGCAGAGCCCAGAGCAAACCCCAGGCAGGGCUGGGCUGACCGAGCUGCAAAUAUCCCCGUCCCAGCUGGACCCUGGCGCGGCGCCUGAGAUACCAGGUGGAUGGAUACAGGGAUGAGUGUGACUCUGCCCAAUCCCAGCCCCUGGGGACAGGGUCGAGGUUUCAUGGCCGGCAGGGAAGGCAGUGCUAAGGGAAGGUGCCAAUUUUACCCUGCGCUGCCAGGCUGCUGCCCUGCGGCCCGUCGCCGGGUACGUCUGGUCCCGCGGGGACGUGUGGCUGCCAGAAGCCGGGCAGGAUUUACGUGUUGACAAGGCAGCCGUCUCCGAUGGAGGGAGCUACGCAUGCGGAGUCUGGGUCUCCGGCCCCGGCUGGGGGUAUCUGAGCCUCUCUGCGAGGGAAUCGGUCGAAGUUCAGCUCACCCACCCUGUUUGGGCUCCGAAGUACAUCAUAGGACCGACAGCUGCUCUUGUCCUAUUGCUGCUACUGGGGCUGGUCGGUGUUAUGGCUUGGAGGUAUUUGCGCUUUGGCAAACCGGUAAUAGCCACGUCUCUGAUCUCUGGCAAUCCCCAGCUCCUUCCGUCUGGCCUUUGCCGGAGAACCCCGAGCAAUCCAGGACUGAGAAUUGCUGAGCCAAUUCAGAUGCAUUGAAACCCAGCUGGAGGGAGGUGAUUGCAUGGUGGUGGUUGGGUCCCACACAAAUACCUGACACCUGCAAGGGACCUGGGAAGGGCUGGGUGGCUGCCUGGUUGCACGGCUGGGCUGGUGGUCAGGAGAGCAGGGGUCAAGCCAAGGCAGGAGGUUCUAUUUUGUGGGAGCCUUUGUCCUGUUCCUUCCUCUCCUGAACUGAAGCAGAUGAUGUUUUGCCUCUGAGCUGUUGAUUUCCUUUCUUUGAAAGAGGCAGAGCAAACGCCAGGGAAUGAGCAGCAAUGCGGUAAGUGUGUCUAUGGGGCUGGGAGCCAGGGGGGCUGGGUUCUCUCCCUAGCUCUGCUGCUGAGUCACUGCAUGACUUUAGAUGAGCUCUGUCCCUCAGUUUCCCCCUCCAUAAAAGAGGAUUAUAAAUUUCCACCCCCUCCCCCGGAGCAGGACAGAAGGUCUUUCCAAUCCCCUGGGUAGUUUAUCUGGGGGGAGAGGGGGCCUCUGUGCAUUCCCCUUUGUUAUUACACAUCACCGAGCAGUCCCAGAGCAGUGGCUCGCGGCCUCACUUCUGCCUGCCUUGCAGCACCAGCCGGGCCCUGGGGAGACCCUGAUGUCUGGAUGCAUCUAUGAGAAGAACACCCAGGACUAUGGCCUGGGGCAGCCAGCCGCAUGUUAGAUACGCGCCUCCUCCUGGGGGAUAGCGCGACCACCGAGCUGUGCCCGGGCUCUCCGGCCGGCAUCGGGCAAUCCCACACCUACAGCCAGACAAUGAACAUGGGCAAAGUACUGCAGGUGAGUGACUCAUUCCUCUGUGUAUACGAGGCCCUGGACUCCUGGGUUCUAUCCCCAGCUCCUGGAGGGGUGUGGGGUCGAGUGGUUAGAGCAGGGAGUGGGCUGGGCUGUGAGUCUUUAGGUUGUUCCUACAAAGAAGCCCAGGACUUUCGCUCUUACCCAGCAUGUUCACACUGAUCCUGGUCAUCCACUUUCUCUCCUCCUGCUUCUGCCUGGGCUUCGAGACAACCAGUCUGAGCCCCUACGAGCCGUUCUCGCUGGCCCGCAGAUCAGACAGCUGCAUGCUGCAAUCUCUCUCCAGGUCCCCCAGGAACCUCACGCGCCCUGCGAAGGCUGGGCUGAUAGUGGCGUUGUGUUUAUACAGGAUGGUGCCACUGAAAUCUUUCUUCUCAGGGUCAUACCCAGAAUUCAGGUUCCAGGCCAGGGAGCUGAUGGUCAGGUUGUUUGGCCUUGUGGGGUUCAGGACACAGGAUUGAUAGUGGCAUGGGAUGGACAGACAGGCCCCUGUCCAAGCGAUCAGGGACUUGGGGACCUCGAUGCAUGGCUGGAAGCAUUGACAGAGGAAGCCUGGAAGCAGCAGAGUGACAGAGAUGGCAGUGAGGGGCAAGCUGGCCAGGCAUUUCCAGUGCCGAACUGGGACUCAGGACAUUGGGGUUUGAUUCCCAGCACUAAACUCCUUGUUCAGCUCAUGGUGUGGCUCCGUGCCUCAGUUUCCCCAUCUGUACAAUGAGGAGAACCUAGUAAGCCUGGCUCUCGGCCUUCCUGCUCUAACCACUAGACACCACACCCCUCCCAGAGCUGGGGACAGAACCCAGGAGUUCUGAAUCCCAGCCCAACCCUCUGAACCCCCUGUCACUGGAUCACAUUAAUUUGAUGCAAGUGGAGUAAAUCUCACAGAAGAAAACCUCCCUCUGACCUUGUGACCCCCAGCCAGGUUUCCGCUCCCUUCUCCCCAGCCCUCAGGGCUCUGUGGGGCUGAAGUAGCCAGACCUUCAGGGCGAGGGGAAGAGGCCUUACCUGGGAGGAACAGCAGCCAGACGAGACGCCUCAAGGUGAUCCCUGAGCAGCUGCGGCACUGGGGAACAAAGGAAAGAGCGAAGGUUUGGUUGGUUCCUGCAAUGACCCAGAGCAACAUCAACCACCGGAGAGAGAGGAGCUAGAGGGGAGACUGCAGGGAACCUGUUACCUGCGGUAACCACUAGACCCCACUCCCCUCUCAAGGCUGGGGAGAGAACCCAGGCGUCCGGGCUGCCAGCCCCCUGCUCUAACUCACUAGCUGCUGGAUGGCGCAGUGCAAAGGGCGUCACAUUGACACAGGGGAGGCAGCUUAACGCAGGGGAACCAUUGCCCACCCCACUGGGCAUGGGGGUUAUUACAGGGCUUGGUGCCCAGAGCGGGGAAAUUGAGCUUCCUAUGGAGAAACUCCAGCGGGAACCCUCCCUCUGCUGAUGAUCAAUCCACGGGAGACCCAGCAGCCCCUCGCACUGUGCGGGAGGCUGCGAGUCCGUGUGCAGCUAUCGCUGGUUCAUGGAUCGCUCUCGGAGUUGGACACGCGGUGACAGUCAUCACUCAGCGGGUGACUUUAAUACAGUUGAGCAGAGACAAGGGACCUUGUUCCUGUGACUGUCUGUCUUACUGGCCUGGGCCUCCCUGUGUCCUGGUGACGCUGGAUCUAAACCAGGGCGAGGUGACUCUGCUGAACGGAGACGGCAGCCGCCAGCGCCGGCCCCUCACUGCUGUAAUGUCACAUCACUCGCAUUCACUUCAAAUAAAACUAAAGGGUAGAGGGGGUGGGGG